rnacentral:rRNA from 1 species
UACGAAGGGGGCGAGCGUUGUUCGGAUUUACUGGGCGUAAAGGGCGCGUAGGCGGCCCUCUUUGUCGCGUGUGAAAGCCCCGGGCUCAACCUGGGAAUGGCGCGCGAAACGGGGGGGCUUGAGUUCGGGAGAGGAGCGUGGAAUUCCCAGUGUAGAGGUGAAAUUCGUAGAUAUUGGGAAGAACACCGGUGGCGAAGGCGGUUCUCUGGGCCUGUACUGACGCUGAGGAGCGAAAGCGUGGGGAGCGAACAGG